UUUAAUAAUAAAUAAAAUAAUUUUUAAAAUUUAAUACUUCAUAAAAUUAUUAAUUUGUUAAAUAUCAAAUAUAAAAAUUAUAUUCUGAAUUUUAUAAUUAAUUAAUUUUUGUAUUACCAUUUUAUUAUCCCAAAGGCUACAUAGGAGAAAAAAAGAAAUCAAAUUAGAUAUAAUUAAGAAACAACCAAACAAAGCUCUGAAAAAAAAAAAAACUACUUAAGAUGACCUAAGUUUACAAUGCUAUAUGUAUCUGAGUCAAUGAUAUAAUUUACCUCUUCAGAUUAAGAAGUCCCAAAGGCGGUAACUAACUCUAUUUUUCAUGAAGGAGCCUGUGACAUGAUGAAUUGCUUAAGGUGCCCAAAUCCUAUCUAAAAUGGCAUGCUAAAAGCUGCUAAUAUUUUAUUCAUCAGCACAGCAAUCAGAGGAGCUGAGUAGUGAGUGGUGACAAUUCUUUUAUAAUAAUAAUAUGUAGCUAUAUGUAAUGGGACUUUUAUUUUAUUGUUUAUUACUUUUUUGGUAGUAGUGAAGAGAAAAUAAAAUAAGUUUCAAAUUACUAGGGCAGGAUAUGGUUAUCUUCCAAUCAACAUAAGUUGGCAGAUUUGAGUUUCUUGCUAGAAAUGGAAGGUUCUGGUACCAUUUCAACAGGGCAAAGAGCUAAUAAAGGAAUUGGACGACAAAUAUGUCAUCAAUUAGCAUCAAAUGGAGUUCUAGUUGUAUAAACAGCUAGAGAUGAGAAAAGGGGUUUGGAAGCUACCAGAACACUUCAAGAUCAUGGAUCAUCUGCUGUGGUUUUCCAUCAACUUGAUGUUACUGAUCCAGCUAUUAUUGCUUCAUUAACCAAGUUUAUUAAAACCAAGUAUGGCAAACUUGAUAUUUUGGUAAAUAAUGUAGGUGUUGGUGGACUCUUUGUAGACUGGAAAGCUUUAGCAGCACUCAAAAUUAGAGGUGGUGCAGUAAGUUCUCAGAAUGUUAUAUAAGUUGUUUCCAUGCUUGAAUCAAGCAAUCGUGUUAAGACUAGCAGUAUGUCAGCUAGUUUGUUUCUUUGUUUUGUCUUAAUUGCUGGAUAUUAGUAGCUUCCUUUAGUUGUUUUUGCUUGGUUCAAAUAUUUAGUUAAAGCAUUGGCAGCCUUGUUAACCAGUGCAUGUAGUUUUUUAGUUUACUUAUAGCAGUGUACAAGCGUUUCAACUUCUUGUAAUCAUAGUUUAAGUUGUAUAAGUAUUUUUUGGUUUUAGUUGAUAAUAUAACAAGUUUUUCCAGCAA